rnacentral:rRNA from 1 species
GUCCUAGCCGUAAACGGUGCACGUUUGCUGUAAGAGGAAUCGACCCCCUCUUGUGGCGGAGCCAACGCGUUAAACGUGCCGCCUGGGGAAGUACGGUCGCAAGAUUAAAAACUCAAAGAAAUUGACGGGGGCCUGCACAACGGUGGAGUAUGUGGCUCAAUUCGAUGCAACGCGAAGAACCUUACCUGGCCUUGACAUGUACGUAGUAGAAGGGUGAAAGCCUGACGAGAUAGCAAUAUCAGCGUACACAGGUGCUGCAUGGCUGUCGU